rnacentral:rRNA from 1 species
UACGGAGGAUCCGAGCGUUAUCCGGAUUUAUUGGGUUUAAAGGGAGCGUAGGUGGAUUGUUAAGUCAGUUGUGAAAGUUUGCGGCUCAACCGUAAAAUUGCAGUUGAAACUGGCAGUCUUGAGUACAGUAGAGGUGGGCGGAAUUCGUGGUGUAGCGGUGAAAUGCUUGGAUAUCACGAAGAACUCCGAUUGCGAAGGCAGCUCACUAGACUGCAACUGACACUGAUGCUCGAAAGUGUGGGUAUCAAACAGG